UGAGUACGAGAUGCUACGGCAUCGAAGCAGUCUAUGUCAUACUUCCAAGAAAAGCUUGCACUGUCAGAAACAGAUAAUGCCUGUACCAUAACCGACACAGGUGGGUAGGUAGAGUAUACUAAGGGGCGCGAGAUAACUCUCUCUAAGGAACUCGGCAAAAUGACUCCGUAACUUCGGGAGAAGGAGUGCCUUAUUUUUAAGGUUGCAAUAACAAGAUCCAAGCAACUGUUUACCAAAAACACAGGUCUCCGCUAAGUCGUAAGACGAUGUAUGGGGGCUGACGCCUGCCCAGUGCCAGAAGGUUAAAGAAGUCGGUUAGCAUUCGCGAAGCUGGUAACUGAAGCCCUGGUGAACGGCGGCCGUAACAAUAACGGUCCAAAGGUAGCGAAAUUCCUUGUCGGGUAAGUUCCGACCCGCACGAAAGGCGUAAUGAUUUGGAUACUGUCUCGGAGAGGGGCUCGGUGAAAUAGACUUGUCUGUGAAGAUGCGGACUACCUGCACCUGGACAGAAAGACCCUAUGAAGCUUUACUGUAACUUGAAAUUGAAAUUGGACUUUAUUUGCGCAGUAUAGGUGGGAGGCGUUGAAAAUAUUCUUGCGGGAAUAUUGGAGCCAUCAGUGAGAUACCACUCUUGUAAUGUUAGAUUUCUAACUUUAUAUCAUUAUCUGGUUAAGGAACAGUUUCAGGCGGGCAGUUUGACUGGGGCGGUCGCCUCCCAAAUGGUAACGGAGGCGCACAAAGGUUUCCUCUGAACGGGUAGAAAUCGUAUCUAGAGUGUAAAGGCAUAAGGAAGCUUGACUGUGAGACCUACAAGUCGAGCAGGGACGAAAGUCGGUCUUAGUGAUCUGACGGUGCUGAGUGGAAAGGCCGUCACUCAACGGAUAAAAGUUACUCUAGGAUAACAGGCUGAUCUCCCCCAAGAGUUCACAUCGACGGGGAGGUUUGGCACCUCGAUGUCGGCUCAUCGCAUCCUGGGGCGGUAGUACGUCCCAAGGGUUGGGCUGUUCGCCCAUGAAAGCGGUACGCGAGCUGGGUUCAGAACGUCGUGAGACAGUUCGGUCCAUAUCCGGUGUAGGCGUUAGAAUAUUGAGAGGAGCCUUCUUUAGUACGAGAGGACCGAGAAGGACAUACCUCUGGUGUACCAGUUAUCGUGCCAACGGUAAACGCUGGGUAGCUAUGUAUGGAGUGGAUAACCGCUGAAAGCAUCUAAGUGGGAAGCCCACCUCAAGAUAAG
rnacentral:rRNA from 1 species